rnacentral:rRNA from 1 species
CACGUAGGCGGGCUGUCAAGUCGGCCGUGAAAGGCACGGGCUCAACCUGUGCAUGUCGGUCGAUACUGGCGGUCUGGAGUAUGGGAGAGGGAACUGGAAUUCCCGGUGUAGCGGUGAAAUGCGUAGAUAUCGGGGGGAACACCAGUGGCGAAGGCGGGUUCCUGGCCCAUGACUGACGCUGAGGUGCGAAAGCCGGGGGAGCGAACG